GACGAACGCGGGCGGGGUGCUUAACGCAUGCAGGUCGAACGGAAAGGCCCUGCUUUUGUGGGGUGCUCGAGUGGCGAACGGGUGAGUAACACGUGAGUAGCCUGCCCUUGACUGUGGGAUAACUUCAGGAAACUGGGGCGAAUACCGGAUAGGAUCUCCUGCUGCAUGGUGGGGGUUGGAAAGUUUCGGCGGUUGGGGAUGGACUCGCGGCUUAUCAGCUUGUUGGUGGGGUAGUGGCUUACCAAGGCUUUGACGGGUAGCCGGCCUGAGAGGGUGACCGGCCACAUUGGGACUGAGAUACGGACCAGACUCCUACGGGAGGCAGCAGUGGCGAAUAUUGCACACUGGGCGGAAGCCUGAUGCAGCAACGCCGCGUGCGGGAUGACGGCCUUCGGGUUGUAAACCGCUUUCGCCUGCGACGAAGCGUGAGUGACGGUAAUGGGUACAGAAGCAACGGCUAACUACGUG
rnacentral:rRNA from 1 species